UACGUAGGGUGCGAGCGUUAAUCGGAAUUACUGGGCGUAAAGCGUGCGCAGGCGGUUCGUUGUGUCGGCGGUGAAAGCCCCGGGCUUAACCUGGGAAUGGCCGUUGAAACUGGCGAACUGGAGUGUGGCAGAGGGGGGUGGAAUUCCGCGUGUAGCAGUGAAAUGCGUAGAUAUCGGGAGGAACACCUGUGGCGAAAGCGGCUCACUGGACCACAACUGACGGCUGAGGCGC
rnacentral:rRNA from 1 species